CCAUUGCCAAGAAGGAGAAGGUCCAUUGGAAAACUGCAGCUGUCUGCAGCCGCCUGGACAGAGGGAUGUUGAGGGGGGCAAACUGGAUCCACAUAAUUCCUGGGGAGAUCUGGAACCCCAAAUAUUGAGAAUGGAGAAAGUGGAUACAGAAGGGAAUAUAAAUAGGGGUGGAAUGUGAGAGAGGAAAAUGAGUUAUGAGAGAGAAGUAGGAAAACAAGUAAAGGGAAACAAAGUAACAAUAUGGAAGAGAAAAAAAAUAGAUCUGCAAAGAGGGUUACAAUUCACAAAAAGACAGAGCGACAAAGAAUAAGGUAGACUCAGUAACUUAGAACUGGGGUACAAACAGUGAUACAGCUACUCAAAAUGUGGGAAAAUGAACAGUGAAACAGUAUGGACGUAACACAGUGUUACUGAAUAGGGGUUCUCUCAAUUACUAAAAAUGGGGGUAGCAUAGUGACACAUAAUAUAAUUAUACACAGUGACACAGAAAGGGGUACACACAGUCACUCAGAAAGGAGUUAUAUAAAAUGGGGUACACACAGUCACUCAGAAUAGGGUUACAUAAAUGAGGUACACACAGUCACUCAGAAUGGGGUUACAUAAAAUAGGGUACACAUAUUAGCACAGAACAGGGGUACACGCAGUGACAGAG